GACGAACGCUGGCGGCGUGCUUAACACAUGCAAGUCGAACGGAAAGGCCCUGCUUUUGUGGGGUGCUCGAGUGGCGAACGGGUGAGUAACACGUGAGCAACCUGCCCUUGACUUUGGGAUAACUUCAGGAAGCUGGGGCUAAUACCGGAUAGGAGCUCAUGCUGCAUGGUGGGGGUUGGAAAGUUUCGGCGGUUGGGGAUGGACUCGCGGCUUAUCAGCUUGUUGGUGGGGUAGUGGCUUACCAAGGCUUUGACGGGUAGCCGGCCUGAGAGGGUGACCGGCCACAUUGGGACUGAGAUACGGCCCAGACUCCUACGGGAGGCAGCAGUGGGGAAUAUUGCACAAUGGGCGGAAGCCUGAUGCAGCAACGCCGCGUGCGGGAUGACGGCCUUCGGGUUGUAAACCGCUUUCGCCUGUGACGAAGCGUGAGUGACGGUAAUGGGUAAAGAAGCACCGGCUAACUACGUG
rnacentral:rRNA from 1 species